AAUUUAAAUAAAUAACUUAAAUAUUUUUUACUAUUUACUAUAUUACGGAAAAUUUUGCAAAUUAUUAAAACGUUUGGAUGUGGGCAAAUGAAAAAUGCCGAAGAGGACAGAAUUUUAGUUUUGUCUGUACUUUAUAACGUUAUCAACGACUCGUCAUGGCCGCGAGAUAUUCGAUAAACUAUUUAUUCAAUUUAGUGUUUGCUACGGUUGGUAAAGCCAUGCUGCGGAAAAAAGAUCAUUGGCAAAUAUGUGUGCUUAGCUAAAGUCUGCAGGUUAUAUCUAAAAAAUGGACUGACUUGUGUAACAUUAAAAUGUCGAGAGAAGUUGUUUCGAUGGUGGAUGGGCAUGUAAAAUUCGUUUUACGGUUCAGUUGCCGUAGGAAAGUUUAUAUAUGAGGUGGUUCGAAAAAUUGCCACAGCCGGUCUAAAGUUUUCACACCAAUGUAGAAUGCCGAAGGACGAUUACUUAGUCACUUUUGACGAGAAGUUUUGAGAACUGCAAAUUUUUUCCAAGUAACGACUUUUCAGAAAAGGUUAUUAUAUGGGGAGAGGAAAAAUGGAAAAUAUCUCAAAAAUUACGGCCUGCAGACCAAAAAUAGUAUUAUCAGCUAUUUGUUUUUUCGUUCCUCAAGUUCCUUAUAUAAUUCUUGAUGUCCAGCUAUACAAAAUUUAAGGAUCCAUCCAAGUGCACAGAAACUGAUGUCAGGAUCAUGAGUAAAAAAAUGUUGUUCCAUACUUGUGGCAAGUUUCAAGCCCUCGCCAAUUAAGUCAGCCCUUAACAGCUGAGCUUCACAAUCGACUUCGUCACCGUCACUUUUCAUCUUACAAACUCAUCGCUCUAAUACAAGAUAAAUACUGAAUACCGGAAUGCCGCGUUCAAGUUUAAGUGCAACGAGAUGGAGAAAAAUACGAUCAUAAAAGGUCACCAAAAAAAAUCUUUUUUUUUUUUUUUUUUUGAAUUCUUGGCAAAACAAAGAAUUCGCGUACAAAGUGUAUUUGUUUUUAUUGAUGAACCGUUUUAUUGCGAAAUCGGGUAAAAAAAGAUCAUGUAAAAAAAGAAGUUGGUUAU